rnacentral:rRNA from 1 species
AACGAACGCUGGCGGCAUGCCUAACACAUGCAAGUCGAACGAGACCUUCGGGUCUAGUGGCGCACGGGUGCGUAACGCGUGGGAACCUGCCCUUAGGUUCGGAAUAACUCCCCGAAAGGGGUGCUAAUACCGGAUAAUGUCUUCGGACCAAAGAUUUAGCGCCUUUGGAUGGGCCCGCGUUGGAUUAGCUAGUUGGUAGGGUAAAAGCCUACCAAGGCGAGGAUCCAUAGCUGGUCUGGGAGGAGGAUCAGCCACACUGGGACUAAGACACGGCCCAGACCCGUGGGGGGGGGGGGGAGGGGGAAAAUUGGAGAGGGAGCGAAAGCCUGAACCGGCAAGGCCGGGAGGGUGGUGAAGGCGUUGGGGUGUGAAAGCUCUUUUCCCCGGGAUGAAAAGAACGGUACGGGGAAAAAAAGCCCCGGCAAACUCGGU